ACAUUACAUCAGCAAUCACAAUAUCAAACGACAUGCAAACAUUCAAGAACCUCGAAAAACUGCUGUCUGAGGAUAAACUAAAGAGUCUUUUAAAAAAAUACGAUAAAUCAGGCGAUGGAAAAUUGAACAAGCAAGAAGUGAAGGAUGCUUUCAGAGAUUUAGGGUUAUGGUUUUGUGGUUUGAGAGCUCAUCAAGCAAUGCAACAUGCUGAUAAAAAUAAUGAUGGCCUUAUAGUUGAUGAUGAGAUGGGUGUGCUUGUUGA
rnacentral:misc_RNA from 1 species